rnacentral:rRNA from 1 species
CCUACGGGGGGCAGCAGUCGAGAAUCAUUCACAAUGGGGGAAACCCUGAUGGUGCGACGCCGCGUGGGGGAAUGAAGGUCUUCGGAUUGUAAACCCCUGUCAUGUGGGAGCAAAUUAAAAAGAUAGUACCACAAGAGGAAGAGACGGCUAACUCUGUGCCAGCAGCCGCGGUAAUACAGAGGUCUCAAGCGUUGUUCGGAAUCACUGGGCGUAAAGCGUGCGUAGGCUGUUUCGUAAGUCGUGCGUGAAAGGCGCGGGCUCAACCCGCGGACGGCACAUGAUACUGCGAGACUAGAGUAGUGGAGGGGGAGCCGGAAUUCUCGGUGUAGCAGUGAAAUGCGUAGAUAUCGAGAGGAACACUCGUGGCGAAGGCGGGUUCCUGGACAUUAACUGACGCUGAGGCACGAAGGCCAGGGGAGCGAAAGGGAUUAGAUACCCGAGUAGUC